rnacentral:rRNA from 1 species
AUUGAACGCUGGCGGCAGGCCUAACACAUGCAAGUCGAGCGAGCGGCGGACGGGUGAGAAAUGUAUGGGGAUCUGCCCGAUAGAGGGGGAUAACUACUGGAAACGGUGGCUAAUAACGCAUACCAUCAGAGGAACACAUAUGGGAUUAGCUUGUAGGUGAGGGAACGGCUAACCUAGGCGACGAACCCUAGCUGGUCUGAGAGGAUGAUCAGCCACACUGGGCCUGAUACACGGCCCAGACUCCUACGUGAGGCAGCAGUGGGGAUUAUUGCACAAUGGGCGCAAGCCUGAUGCAGCCAGUCCGCGUGUAUGAAGAAGGCCUUAGGGUUGUAAAGUACUUUCAGCUGGGAGGCGUUACCCGCAGAAGAAGCACCGGCUAACUCCGUGCCAGCAGCCGCGGUAAUUC